rnacentral:misc_RNA from 1 species
GAAAAAUGCAACGAGCUGGUCACUUGUAUGAAAGUCUCCAAGCAAAUAUAACGGAGACCAUGCAACCAGGAAGCAAAAAUUUUCCCAUCUUCACAAAAUCAAAUCAAACAGAAAAUCCUCUGUCCAGGAAAUCCCAAAAAUGCAGAGAGAUUAUAACAGCAAACCAACCUUCACUGAGAUCUUUAUAGCCUCUUCGAUCGGUUUAAUCAUUGCAGUAGCAAUGCAUUAUCUUUUUCGACAGACCAGGGAUCGGAAG